rnacentral:rRNA from 1 species
CCUACGGGUGGCAGCAGUGGGGAAUAUUGGACAAUGGGCGAAAGCCUGAUCCAGCCAUGCCGCGUGUGUGAAGAAGGCCUUCGGGUUGUAAAGCACUUUCAGUGGGGAAGAAAGCCUUGGGGCUAAUACCCUCGAGGAAGGACAUCACCCACAGAAGAAGCACCGGCUAACUCCGUGCCAGCAGCCGCGGUAAUACGGAGGGUGCGAGCGUUAAUCGGAAUUACUGGGCGUAAAGCGCGCGUAGGCGGUCUGAUAAGCCGGUUGUGAAAGCCCCGGGCUCAACCUGGGAACGGCAUCCGGAACUGUCAGGCUAGGGUGCAGGAGAGGAAGGUAGAAUUCCCGGUGUAACGGUGAAAUGCGUAGAGAUCGGGAGGAAUACCAGUGGCGAAGGCGGCCUUCUGGACUGACACUGACGCUGAGGUGCGAAAGCGUGGGUAGCAAACAGGAUUAGAUACCCUGUAGU